rnacentral:rRNA from 1 species
CAAUAGCGUAUAUUAAAGUUGUUGCGGUUAAAAAGCUCGUAGUUGGAUUUUAUUCACUGAGACUAGCAGCAAUGCCAGUUACGGUGAAUAUAGGCAUUUGAGGCUUCGGUCUCUUUUGCCAUUUUUACUUUGAGGAAAUUAGAGUGUUUCACGCAGGCACCUGCCGUGAAUAUAUUAGCAUGGAAUAAUGAAAUACGACGAUUAUUCGAUUUCGUUGGUUUAUUGAAAGAUCGUAAUGAUAAAUAGGGACAGUCAGGGGCAUUCGUAUUUAACUGUCAGAGGUGGAAUUCUUGGAUUUGUUAAAGACGCACUACUGCGAAAGCAUUUGCCAGGGAUGUUUUCAUUGAC